UUGGACGAUGGGCGCAAGCCUGAUCCAGCAAUGCCGCGUGUGUGAAGAAGGCCUUCGGGUUGUAAAGCACUUUUGUCCGGAAAGAAAUCCUUGGCUCUAAUACAGUCGGGGGAUGACGGUACCGGAAGAAUAAGCACCGGCUAACUACGUGCCAGCAGCCGCGGUAAUACGUAGGGUGCAAGCGUUAAUCGGAAUUACUGGGCGUAAAGCGUGCGCAGGCGGUUUGCUAAGACCGAUGUGAAAUCCCCGGGCUCAACCUGGGAACUGCAUUGGUGACUGGCAGGCUAGAGUAUGGCAGAGGGGGGUAGAAUUCCACGUGUAGCAGUGAAAUGCGUAGAGAUGUGGAGGAAUACCGAUGGCGAAGGCAGCCCCCUGGGCCAAUACUGACGCUCAUGCACGAAAGCGUGGGGAGCAAACAGGAUUAGAUACCCUGGUAGUCCACGCCCUAAACGAUGUCAACUAGUUGUUGGGGAUUCAUUUCCUUAGUAACGUAGCUAACGCGUGAAGUUGACCGCCUGGGGAGU
rnacentral:rRNA from 1 species